CAGGAUCAACCAGGUAGCAUUCCUCACCGACGUCAGCCCGACUCCAAACCGAGCCGCGGGGGCACGGCAGGAGACCGAACCAACGGUCGUUCGCACGAAGCGUAGAACGCUUUUUUUGUGGUGCUCCGAGGCCGAGGCCCCGUACCCACAUGAUGUUCCGUACUCGAGAGACCGAGCGACCCAUCGUGGUUCGUCGGCCCGAACGCCGUUUCACGGGCGAACGGGGCGCGAGACACGACGUGCGCUGUUUGGCCCACCCCGCACCGCAGGCCCUUUUGGGAGCAGCGGCACGGGACGGGAGUGGGACGAUGGAAACCGAUAGAAUGCCCUCGCGAUAGGUAUGCAGCACAGGAAAACCGACGUCGGACGAGCACUUACUCGCGCCAACAACUGAAGAGACGCGGACGGGAUGCCGUCGCUGCCCGAGCAGGGAUCCGACAUGCCGUUGCGCGCCAAUCACCACUC
rnacentral:misc_RNA from 1 species